CAGAAAGGCACAGGGGAGGCAUAAUAAGGAUUCUAAGAAUUACAGCCCUGGGCCACAAUGAGUGCCAGGCGAGGCUUGACUGUUUUGUUAACCAUUUUGGUUGCUGUUGCAAAAGCAGAAACUACGGCAGCGACAACAGAAACUGCGGCUCCAACAACUGGUUCAACUGCAGUAACAAACACAGAAACUGCGGCAACAACAACAACAGAAACUGCAUCAACAACAAUUGGUUCAACUCCAUCAAUAACAACAGAAACUGCGGCAACAACAACUGGUUCAACAGCAGUAACAACA